rnacentral:ncRNA from 1 species
UAAAAGUUUUAUUUUGAUUUAAAAAUUAAAUAUAAUUUUUAUUUAUAUAUAAAUUUUUGUAUAAUAGUUAUUAAUUUUAAAUAAAUUUUUAAUUUAAAUAUUGUAAUAAUUGGUUUUAUAAAUUAAGGAAAUUUAGAUUUAGAAAUAAUUAUUAAUAUUAACUAAAUUUGUGCCAGCAGUUGCGGUUAUACAAAUAAUAUAAUUUAAUUUUUUUGGUUUUAAUAAAUUUAGAUAAUUUUAAAUUUUAUUUUAAGAUUUAUUAGGUGAAAUUUUAAAUUUUAUUAUAAUUUUGUUUUAAUUAAUUAAUUAGGAAAUUUUAAUUUUAAACUAGGAUUAGAUACCCUAUUAUAAAAAGUGUAAAGAAAAUUAACCAGAUUAGUAUUAGAUAUGUUCUUGAAAAUUAAAAAAUUUGGCGGUAUUUUAGUCUAUUCAGAGGAAUCUGUUCUGUAAUCGAUAAUCCACGAUUAAAUUUACUUAAUUUAGAAAUUUGUAUAUCGUCGUGAUUAAAUAUUUUAUUAGAAUUUUAAUUUUUAUAAAUUUUAAUUAGAAAAUAGAUCAGAUCAAGGUGCAGUUUAUAGUUAAGGAGAAAUGGAUUACAAUAAAUUUAUUUAAUUGGAUAAUUAUUUUAAAAAUUUUUUGAAAUUGGAUUUGAAGGUAAUUUUUAUUUUAAUAUAAAAAUGAUUUAAGCUCUAAAAUAUGUACAUAUCGCCCGUCGCUUUCAUUAUAAAGUGAAAUAAGUCGUAACAAAGUAGGCUUACUGGAAUGUGAGCCUGGAAUGA